ACGGGGAGGUUUGGCACCUCGAUGUCGGCUCAUCGCAUCCUGGGGCUGAAGUAGGUCCCAAGGGUUGGGCUGUUCGCCCAUUAAAGCGGUACGCGAGCUGGGUUCAGAACGUCGUGAGACAGUUCGGUCCCUAUCUGUCGCGGGCGCAGGAAGUUUGAGGAGAGCUGUCCUUAGUACGAGAGGACCGGGAUGGACGCACCGCUGGUGCACCAGUUGUCACGCCAGUGGCACAGCUGGGUAGCUAUGUGCGGAAGGGAUAAGCGCUGAAAGCAUCUAAGCGUGAAGCCCCCUCCAAGAUGAGACUUCCCACAGCGUUAAGCUGGUAAGACCCCUCAUAGACGAUGAGGUUGAUAGGUUCGGUGUGGAAGCGCGGCAACGCGUGGAGCUGACGAAUACUAAUCGGUCGAGGACUUAUCCACACAA
rnacentral:rRNA from 1 species